rnacentral:tRNA from 1 species
GCCUGGGUGGCUCAGUCGGUUGAGCGACUGACUUCGGCUCAGGUCAUGAUCUCACGGUUUGUGAGUUCGAGCCCCGCGUCGGGCU